UGGUAUUUUUUUUUUAAUUCAGGUACUACUUCAACUAAAUUAAAUUGGAUCUUCCGGAACUCUUUGAAAAUUCAGGUGAGUAUUGGAAAAAUUUAAAUAAUGUUAGGUGGUGGAUUUCUGGUAAAAAUAGUGGGAUUUGGUGAGUUACACUGGCAAAACUGUGGGAUUUAAAUGAAGUAAAAACGAACGGAGAAAAAUGGAAUAUGGAAUAAGCGGCUUACACAGACAUCCCUCAAGAAGUUCCAUGACAAUACGACCAAUGGUCGGAAGCCAAAAUUGUCGCAGGACCGAAUGGAAACUCUAGACUGCGAUUUCUGAAGACAAAAAUUAGGGUGCAAUAAAGGCAGCUUGCAAUUGUGGUUCUUCCCAACAAGUAUGUACGAAAGGCAAACAAAGAUGGAGUGUCGAUUGCACUUAAAAUCGACGAACUGAUUAAAAGCCUGGUUACCUAACCUUGAAUAGAGCUCUGUUCAACGUCGUGUACCUACAGACUAACCAAAAGAAAAAACCGCGGAAUUUAAUUAUGAUGCUUCGUCGUCCGUCUGUCUGUCCGAGGUUUCGUGUAUAAAAUGUCGAUUGGGAAUACCAAGCCACGCUGGGUUAGCAAUGGCGCAAAAUCAGCGGCUCCCUCGAUGGAUUGGAUGGGCGAUGGUGUGGCUUGUAGGCUCCAAUUAUUCAGGAAUUUUUAGGUUUAAGAUUUAUUUUCUUGUUUUAGAUUUUUAGUUAAUUUUUUUGGUUUUUUUUUCAAUUUUGUUAAAUUGUUUCCAAACUUUGUUUUAAUUUUAAGAAAAGUUCAAUUUGUCUUCUAAUUUUAAAUUUUUGUGAAAACUAUUUGUUUUGUUUUCUUUCAACUUUUAGCCUUUUGUUGUUAAAUUUUGCUUAAUUAUUUUAAGGCUUCCAAUUUUGUUAAAAAAAGUUUGUAUUUCGUGUUGUUGGUAUAUGUGUUUCAAACAAAUAAAAACAUUGAAUUCACUUCUCAACAAGUGG